rnacentral:rRNA from 1 species
GACGAACGCUGGCGGCGUGCCUAAUACAUGCAAGUCGAGCGCAGGAAAUCGACGGAACCCUUCGGGGGGAAGUCGACGGAAUGAGCGGCGGACGGGUGAGUAACACGUAAAGAACCUGCCCUCAGGUCUGGGAUAACCACGAGAAAUCGGGGCUAAUACCGGAUGGGUCAUCGGACCGCAUGGUCCGAGGAUGAAAGGCGCUUCGGCGUCGCCUGGGGAUGGCUUUGCGGUGCAUUAGCUAGUUGGUGGGGUAAUGGCCCACCAAGGCGACGAUGCAUAGCCGACCUGGGAGGGGGAUCGGCCACACUGGGACUGAGACACGGCCCAGACUCCUACGGGAGGCAGCAGUUGGGAAUCUUCCACAAUGGACGAAAGUCUGAUGGAGCAACGCCGCGUGAACGAUGAAGGCCUUCGGGUCGUAAAGUUCUGUUGUAAGGGAAGAACAAGUGCGCAGGCAAUGGCGGCACCUUGACGGUACCCUGCGAGAAAGCCACGGCUAACUACGUGCCAGCAGCCGCCGUAA